GGGGUGAAAAUGAUUUUAACCCAAAAAGAAUAAUCUUCUCUUUUGCCUCAAUUUUUGACUCUUCUAGUUUGGUGAAAACAGAUAAGACAACUAGCAAGAGAGAGAGAGAGAAAUAUCAUUCUUGUUUGCAAUCGUUGUGUUUCAAGAAUUAAUCUUCUCAAAAUCAUUUUGUGUUUCCUUGUUUUGCUUUGUAGAUUCAGAAAUGGAUAUUGGGUUAGCAGUUGGUGGUGCAUUUCUCUCUUCAGCUUUGAAUGUUCUCUUUGAUAGGCUUGCUCCUAAGGGUGAUUUGCUCAAGAUGUUUCAGAAGCAUACGAAUGAUUUUCGGAUCUUAAAGAAGCUGAGAAUGACUUUGCUUGGUCUUCAAGCUGUGCUAAGUGAUGCAGAGAAUAAGCAAGCAUCAAAUCAAUCUGUGAGCCAGUGGGUUGAUGAGCUUCGAGAUGCUGUGGAUUCUGCAGAAAACUUGACGGAAGAAAUCAAUUAUGAAGCUUUGAGGCUUAAGGUGGAAGGUCAGCAUCAAAAUCUUGCAGAAGUAAGUGACCUAAACCUGUGCUUGAGUGAUGAUUUCUUUCUAAACAUAAAGGAGAAGUUGGAAGAUACUAUUGAAACAUUGAAGGAUUUGCAAGAGCAAAUUGGUCUCCUUGGCUUAAAGGAGCAUUUUGGUUCGAUUAAACAAGAAGCUAGAACACCUUCAACUUCUUUGGUUGAUGAUUCAGAUAUCUUUGGAAGGCAGACUAAUAUAGAGGAAUUGAUUGACCGUUUAUUGUCUGAAGAUGCAAAUGGGAAAAAGUUGACUGUAGUUUCUAUUGUUGGAAUGGGGGGUGUGGGUAAAACAACACUUUCUAAAGUAGUUUACAAUGAUGAGAAGGUGAAGGACCAUUUUGAUUUGAAAGCUUGGUUUUGUGUUUCUGAGGCAUAUGAUGCUUUCAGAAUAACAAAAGGGUUACUUCAAGAAAUUGGCUCAUUUGACUUGAAGGUUGAUGACAAUCUUAAUCAGCUACAAGUCAAAUGGAAGGAAAGCUUAAAGGGAAAGAAGUUUCUUAUUGUUCUGGAUGAUGUGUGGAAUGACAACUACAACGAGUGGGAUGACUUGAGAAAUCUUUUUGUACAAGGAGAUAUAGGAAGUAAGAUCAUUGUGACGACACGUAAAGAGAGUGUUGCCUUGAUGAUGGCAAAUGAGCAAAUUAGCUUGGACAAUUUGUCUAUUGAAGUCUCUUGGUCUUUAUUUAAAAGACAUGCCUUUGAAAACAUGGACCCUAUGGGACAUCCGGAACUUGAAGAGGUGGGAAAACAAAUUGCAGCCAAGUGCAAAGGACUGCCCUUAGCUCUGAAGACGCUCGCUGGCAUGUUACGCUCCAAAUCAGAGGUUGAGGGGUGGAAACGUAUUUUGAGAAGUGAAAUAUGGGAGCUGCCACACAAUAACAUAUUACCAGCGUUGAUGUUGAGCUACAAUGAUCUUCCUGCACAUUUAAAGCGAUGUUUUUCCUAUUGUGCAAUAUUUCCUAAAGAUUAUGCAUUUAGGAAAGAACAAGUUAUUCAUCUGUUAGUUGCAAAUGGUCUUAUACUGCAGGAAGAUAGAAUCAUUCAAGAUUCAGGCAACCAAUACUUUCUCGAGUUGAGAUCAAGAUCGUUAUUCGAAAGGGUCCCAAAUCCUUCUCAAGGGAACAUAGAGAAAUUCUUAAUGCAUGACCUUGUCAAUGAUUUAGCCCAAAUUGCAUCUUCAAAACUUUGUAUCAGAUUGGAAGAGAGCCAAGGAUCUCAUAUGUUGGAAAAAGGUCGACACUUAUCAUAUUCAAUGGAAAGUAUCGACUUUGAGAAAUUGACACCGCUCUAAAAAUUGAAGCAUCUGAGGACAUUGCUUCCAAUCAGUUUCCAACAUGGUGCUCCACUUAGCAAGAGGGUGCUGCAUAGCAUAUUGCCAAGACUAACAUCCUUAAGGGCAUUAUCGUUGUCAAAUUAUUGGACUGUGGAGUUGCCGGAUGCCUUGUUUAUCAAAUUAAAGCUCCUCAGAUUUUUGGACCUUUCUCAGACAGCGAUUAAAAGGUUGCCGGAUUCCAUUUGUGCAUUGUAUAACUUGGAGACACUUCUCCUGUCACAUUGUGAUCAUCUUGAGGAGCUACCGUUGCAGAUGGAAAAGUUGAUCAACUUGCAUCAUCUUGACAUAAGCAACACUUCUUUCUUGGAGAUGCCACUACAUCUGAGCAAGUUGAAGAGCCUCCAUGUGCUAAUGGGAGCCGAGCUUCUUCUAGGUGGAUCGAGCAUGGAAGAUUUGGGUGAACUGCAUAAUUUGUAUGGAUCUCUAUCAAUUCUAGAGUUGCAAAAUGUGGUUGAUAGAAAGGAUGCCGUGAAGGCAAAGAUGAGGGAGAAGAAUCAUGUUGAGAAGUUAUCUUUGAAGUGGAGUGAAAGUAGUGCUGACAAUUCACAAACUGAAAGAGACAUACUUGAUGAGCUAUGCCCACACACAAACAUAAAACAACUCCAAAUCACCAGAUAUAGAGGGACAAAAUUUCCAAAUUGGCUGGCUGAUCAUUCGUUUCUUAAGCUAGUUAAAUUGUCUAUUAGCAAAUGCAGGGACUGUGAUUCCUUGCCAGCACUAGGGCAACUCCCUUCUUUGAAAUUCCUUUCCAUUAGAGAGAUGCAUCAAAUAACAAAGGUCACGGAAGAAUUCUAUGGCAGUUCAUCCUCCAAAAAGCCUUUUUACUCUCUUGAGAAGCUUUAAUUUGCAAAUAUGCCAGAGUGGAAGCAAUGGCAUGUACUAGGAAAUGGAGAGUUCCCUACACUUGAGAACCUUUCAAUUAUAAAUUGUCCUGAACUCAGUCUGGAGACACCCAUCCAACUUUCAAGGUUUCAAGUUAUUGGUUCUCCUAAGGUUGGAGUUCUUGAGGGAAUGAAGCAAAUUGUUGAAUUAUCUAUUAUUGGUUGCAAUUCUCUUACCUCCUUACCUUUUAGCAUACUGCCCAGUACCUUGAAGAGAAUACGGAUAUCUCGUUGCCAGAAAUUGAAAUUGGAGGUGCCAGUUGGUUAUUAUAACAUGUUUGUUGAGGAUUUGAGCCUUGAGAAUGUGAUUGUAUAGAUGAUAUAUCACCUGAGUUGCUCCCAAGAACACGCAAGUUGAAUGUAUCUAAUUGCCACAAUCUUACUAGGUUUUGUAUUCCUACUUCCACUGAAAGUUUCUAUAUUGGUAAUUGUAAGACUCUUGAAAAACUUUCGGUGGCACUUCCAUCUGCGAUGACAUCAUUGAGUAUAGGCUACUGUGAGAAGCUGAAGUGGCUUCCAGAUCAUAUGCAGGAACUCCUUCCAUCUCUUAAUGGACUGCAUCUUUCUAAUUGUCCAGAGAUAGAGUCCUUUCCUCAAGGAGGAUUGCCCUUCAAUUUACAACAACUUGAGAUCAUUAAUUGCAAGAAACUGGUGAAUGGCCGAAAGGAGUGGUGUUUACAGGGACUCCCUCGUCUCAGAGAGUUAGAAUUAGUGAUCUAUCAUGACGGCAGUGACGAAGAGAUGGAACAUUGGGAGUUACCUUUCUCUAUUCGAAGACUUGAGGUAUCCAAUCUGAAAACAAUAAGCAGCCAAGAUCUCAAAAGCCUCACCUCUCUUGAAUUUCUAUAUAUUGCUUAUUUACCUCAUAUCCAGUCACUUCUGGAAGAAUGGCGGCUUCCCUCCUCUCUUUCUGAGCUAUAUUUAUAUGGCCAUCAUGAGCUCAAUUCACUAGGCCUUUGUUACCUCACUUCGCUUCUACGUCUACGCAUCGGCAAUUGCUGUAAUCUCUAGUCACUUUCCGAAUCAGCACUGCCCUCCUCCCUCUCUCAUUUGACCAUCAAGUAUUGCCAUAAUCUCCGAUCACUUUCCAAAUCAGCACUGCCCUCCGCCCUCUCUGAGCUGACCAUUAAGUGUUGCCGUAAUCUCCAAUCACUUUCUGAAUCAGCACUGCCCUUCUCCCUCUCUAAGCUGACCAUCAAGGAUUGCCCUAAGCUCCAAUCACUUUCUGAAUCAGCACUGCCCUCCUCCCUCUCUGAGCUGACCAUCAGAAAUUGCCCUAAUCUCCAAUCCCUUCCAGUAAAAGGGGUGCCCUCUUCCCUCUCUGAACUAUGGAUUUUCCGCUGCCCACUGCUCAGCCCACUACUAGAAUUUCAGAAGGGGGAAUACUGGCCAAAUAUUGCUCAAAUUCCCUUCAUAUUUGUCGAUGGGAAACACCUGUAAUGUUUAAAACGAAUGGUGCUCUGACAAAUAGAACUUUGGAGAUUAUGAAGUUUCUUUCAAGUUAUGUCCAUUACUCAACCUCGAGUGACACCUCACAGCUAGCGGAAAGUCAAGGAAGUAUAUCCUAGUCGGGAUGACUUCAAGCGAAAUAGAUUUCCUUCAUUGGCACUCUCAUCAGUCAUCAGCCAGCGAAACAAAGAAACCGUCGGUUUCAAAAUUCCAAUGACACCCAAGUUUAAAAAAAAGACAUCAACAGAGGAGAAGAAUUCAACCCCACACCCAUUUCAACCCAAGUUUUCUGCUUUACCUGAUGCGAAGAAGUUUAUGGGUGAGAAAGGUCCAAAGGACUUGUCUCACCUCACCUCACCUGGGUAAACUUGCAUACCACCCCAUGAUAAAAUUUCAGCUUUAACUUGUCCCAACCAAGUGCAAUGGGCGAAGAGAUGCAGUUGUCUCCAUCACUUGGCUGCGGCACAAACAACAUGUCUCAUUAUCAACAGGAAUGUUCAAAUGUAGCAUCCGGUCCUUGUUGUUGCUUAGCUUGAGACUUCAGUGUUUUUGGAGGUGUGACCGAGACAGUGGUUGCACCCUGCUUCUAAGACUCGUCUGAUCUGCCCGACUUGUGUGGAUCCAACACAAUUGUUGGAGGUGAGUUAGUUUGGAGUUGUUGAGCAAAAAACCAUUAGAAUGGUAGAGAGCUAUUCAGAUAUAAUUGUUUUGAGACACUUUCAAAGUGGUAUUCUAACAAAGAAGCAAUCAUACUAGUGACAUGUUCAACUUCAACCCACAUGAUUAAAGCAGUUUUUCCACUAAUAAGGACAUGUGAAAUCGAUUAGUAAGUUUAGAUAUUGUUGAAAAUAUCGUUUUCAUUGUUCGAAAGUUGUUUAACAUACGAUUGGCUUUUGUUGAUCUAAAUUUUUAUUUUUCUGCUUAUCCUCUUCUAUCUGUUGUUUUACACAUCUUCUGAUUGAGUUAAUAAUACAUGCUUUGCUUCCAUAGAAAAUGAGAAAUUGCAAAAUUCCUUUAUGAAAUGUUUGCUAAGUUUCUGUCACCUAAUUCAGAUUCCACUGGAUUAAUUUUUGACCCAAGAUUAUGCAUAUGUUUGGUCUACCGUUGAAAAGGAAAAACCUCGAAUGAUACCGGUAUUUUUUUAAGAAUACAAAGUUGCGAUAAAGACUGAAAUUUUGAUGGCAUUAAUUUCGAUAUGGAUCACCGUUGAGAACUUUUUCUGAGGUAUUAUGUCCCAUUUUCCCUGUUUAGAAUUGUUUUCUGUAGCUCCUAAUUGUGAUGCUUCAUUUACACAUUUUAAAAUUUUUAUCUCAUAACAGGGAGAAAUUCUACCUGAGUCAAUUACAGACUAGCAACUAAUUGUUGUGCAUUAUAUAAUUGCAUAUUUCUUGGAUGGCAGGCUGGGGAUAUUCUUGAAAGCAUAAGAAGAAAGAAUAUGCAUCAAUCAUCCAUGGGAAUGUAUACUUACGAGGAGACAAUGGUCAUCACCACAUCUAUUUGUUAGGACAUAAAAAGAACAUGUCUAAGGUCGAGGGUCUAUCGAAAACAACCUAUUUGCCUCUUCAAGGGUAGUGGUAAAGUCUGCAUACACCUACCCUCCUCAUACCCCACCUAUGUAAGAAGGCUGUGAUUUCCAAGUCAGCCGUCUACUAGUUCCUUGAGAUGAAGCAUGACUUAUUGUAACACACAGAAUCAAUGAGAACAGAUCACAAAUAAGGAAGGAAGCACAAGAGAUUGAAUUCAUCCAAAGGAGAAAUUCAAGGACAAUUGAUUUACUCUCCUGUAAUCAAGCGACGUAAUCAAAUCAACAAAACCAGCAUCAAUGGAAGACAACUCAGAGAAUCUUCAAGACCAAGAUUGAUAGGCAAAAUCAAAUCAGAGAAUCUUCAAAACCAAGCUACUGGACAAAGUUUCACAAAUCAAGGAAUCUGGAAAGGAAGGCAAAUCUUGUCAAGAAGAAAGAAGAUCAUGAACAUAGAUGAUAUGGACUUGAUCACAAUCUACCCUAAAUCAGACUCAAUCAAGGAAUUCACUACAAAUCCUUGAUUGAAUGAAAUACCCAUGGGUUUUCCUUAAAAGAGCAAAGAGCUAGAUUAUACAAACCAGCCUUAGGAUUAGAGGAAGUCCACGCACUUCACUUAAACUAUUGUGCUAUCUUUCUUUCAUCUUUCAUAAAACAUUUGUACUCUCUGUGUAUGAAAUUAUGAUUUUGGAUUUGCUGGAUGACUUGUUUAUCAAAUUAAAACUCCUAAAGAUUUAUGGAACUUUCUUGGACAGAUA